rnacentral:misc_RNA from 1 species
AAGUCGUAACAAGGUUUCCGUAGGUGAACCUGCGGAAGGAUCAUUAUCGAUUCUCCUUUGAAAAGGGGACGUUUGGGCUGUGCUGGCCUUUUUAAAAGGCAUGUGCACGUCCUUACAUCCGUACCCAUACACCUGUGCACCUGUUGUAGGUCUCGCAAGGGAUCUACGUUAUCUCUGAUAAACACCUUGAUGAAUGUCCUUAGAAUGUCCUUAUGAUCGUCGUCUUUGCUGCUUUUGAAGCGGUAGGGAUAAGAUAUAAUAAUUAUAUAACUUUCAGCAAUGGAUCUCUUGGUUCUC